rnacentral:tRNA from 1 species
GACGGCUUAGCUCAGCGGUAGAGCAGGUCUUUACCAUGACUGUGACGUGGGUUCAAAUCCCAUGGUUGUCC